CCUACGGGUGGCUGCAGUGAGGAAUAUUGGUCAAUGGGCGGAAGCCUGAACCAGCCAAGUAGCGUGCAGGAUGACGGCCCUACGGGUUGUAAACUGCUUUUAUACGGGAAUAACGCGCCUUACGUGUAGGGCUUUGCAUGUACCGUAUGAAUAAGGACCGGCUAAUUCCGUGCCGGCAGCCGCGGUAAUACGGAAGGACCGGGCGUUAUCCGGAUUUCUUGGGGUGAAAGGGAGCGUAGGCCGGAUGUCAAGGUUGCUGUGAAAUGUCCGGGCUCAACCCGGGCCUUGCAGCGCUAACUGGCGUGCUUGCGUCCGCGGAACGCAGGCGGACUUCGU
rnacentral:rRNA from 1 species